ACUCCUACGGGAGGCAGCAGUGGGGAAUAUUGCACAAUGGGGGAAACCCUGAUGCAGCCAUGCCGCGUGUGUGAAGAAGGCCUUGGGUUGUAAAGCACUUUCAGUAGGGAGGAAGGUAGUGCAGUUAACACCUGCAUUAUUUGACGUUACCUACAGAAGAAGCACCGGCUAACUCCGUGCCAGCAGCCGCGGUAAUACGGAGGGUGCGAGCGUUAAUCGGAAUUACUGGGCGUAAAGCGCAUGCAGGCGGCCUGUUAAGUCAGAUGUGAAAGCCCGGGGCUUAACCUCGGAAUUGCAUUUGAAACUAGGCAGGCUAGAGUCUUGUAGAGGGGUUA
rnacentral:rRNA from 1 species